rnacentral:tRNA from 1 species
AGCGAGGUGGGGAAGCCAGGUCAUCCCGGCGGGCUCAUAACCCGCAGAACGGUGGUUCAAAUCCACCCCUCGCUA